UGCCUAAACUCUGAAAAAAUCAGAGCAUGGUAAUAAACCUACAGAAGAAACGAGAGCUCCUCGUCUAUUAACCUUCUGUAGGUCAUAAAUCGAAAGGUUUAUGGAUUUUUUCGAAAGAUUAAAUC
rnacentral:sRNA from 12 species